rnacentral:rRNA from 1 species
UACGUAGGUGGCAAGCGUUGUCCGGAAUUAUUGGGCGUAAAGCGCGCGCAGGCGGUCACUUAAGUCCAUCUUAGAAGUGCGGGGCUUAACCCCGUGAUGGGAUGGAAACUGGGAGACUGGAGUAUCGGAGAGGAAAGUGGAAUUCCUAGUGUAGCGGUGAAAUGCGUAGAUAUUAGGAAGAACACCGGUGGCGAAGGCGACUUUCUGGACGAAAACUGACGCUGAGGCGC